CCUACGGGAGGCAGCAGUAGGGAAUAUUGCACAAUGGGGGAAACCCUGAAGCAGCAACGCCGCGUGGAUGAUGAAGGUUUUCGGAUUGUAAAGUCCUUUUGUUAGAGAGGAUAGUGACGGUAUCUAACGAAUAAGCACCGGCUAACUCCGGGCCAGCAGCCGCGGUAAUACGGAGGGUGCACGCGUUACUAGGAAUCACUGGGCGUAAAGAGCGCGGAGGCGGGAUAGCAAGUCGGAUGUGAAAUCCUAUGGCUUAACCAUAGAACUGCAUUUGAAACUGUCAUUCUAGAGUAUGGGAGAGGGAGGUGGAAUUCUUGGUGUAGGGGUAAAAUGCGUAGAGAUCAAGAGGAAUACUCAUGGCGAAGGCGACCUGCUAGAAAAAGACUGACGCUGAGGCGCGAAAGCGUGGGGAGCAAACAGGAUUAGAUACCCGGGUAGUC
rnacentral:rRNA from 1 species